GCCACAAAAUACAGGCGAGAGGAAAAGGCACCGGCUCAGCAGGCAACGCUUGAACCCAUUGAUCCAUUUCAACGAAUAUUCAUAAAAGAGGUAGCACACUUAAAGGAAGAAUUCAAUGUUUCUUCUAGGCAGCAUGACAACAGAUGGUCCGGAUUUUUACUCCCACUCUUGAGAAGACUUCAGUAUGACUUUAAACCCCUGUAAUACUGAAAGGGGGGGAAAAAACCCAAACCCCUAUUUAUUGAACAUGAGCCAGCAGAGUGGGCUGGCAGCCCACAAAGCCAGACAUCUCCUGGACUGCAUCUAAAGGAGUGUGGCCAGCAGGGUGAGGGAGGCAAUUCCAUCCCUGUACUCUGCUUUUGUAAGACCCUACCUGGAGUGGUGAAUCCAGCUCUGGUGCCUCCAAAAUAAGAAGGACAUGGAAGUGUUGGAGCAAGUCCAGGGAAGGCCACGAAGUGAUAAGGGAACUGGAACACCUCCCCUAUGAAGAUAGGCUGAGAAAAUUUGUGCUCUGUCCCAUUUUACACUGUAAGUUUUCAGUAACUGCAGAGGUGACUUGUAAUUAUCAGUGAAGCUACAGCUUUGAAGCUGCACGAGUAAGAUAAUUUUUUCCAUUCUUUUCUUAAUGUAAAUGAGUAGUUGAAUAGAUAUAAAUAAACCAAAUGCGUAACUAGACAUCACUGUAUUAAUAAGCACAAGAAAAGUAUGCUUUGAAGAGGGAUUUAUUUAGAUUUCAGAAAAACCUGUAUUUUAUCUGUGGUUGUGAUAAGAAUGUCUGAUAUAAAGAAGGAGGAAUAGAGUAUUAGUUCAGUUGCACACAAGUCCUGGAAGCAGUUCAAUGCCACAUCUUAGAAUAAGUCACAAUUUCAUUGUCCCUGUCCAAGAAGAUAAAACUAAGCCACAGUAACUAUCAAGUUACUGUCUUUUCUUCCAGAUUUCUCAUGUUUUGUCCUGUAUACGCUUUCUGUUAAAUUAGUCCAGAUUAAGGAUUGUUUUUAUGCAAAGGGGUUAAAUACCCCAUUUUGGGGGAGUGAGAUUAUAUGAACUUUAAUAUAAAUGAAGUCUGUUGAAAUCUUCAUAUACUAGUGGCAAUAGAGCGAGAGAAACACACUAAAAAAAUUUUUAAGUAACAAUUGAACCAAAGGUUUAUAGCUUUUGAAAUUACGUGUCCCCAUGAUAAAUUUUCAGUAUAAUUAAAGGCAGACAUAGGGAGACAUGUUGACUUAUACCACCUUUUUUUCCAAUCCCUCCUUUUAAGGAACUAUGGGCACUUUUUUAUUGUUGAUAUACAUUUCAUUACAUGUCUGUAUGUUUCUUAACUUCUGUGUGCACAGUUUCAAUGUACUCCAGAUGGGGAAUUUUCCCUUUGAUUUGGUGUAAGAACGGAGGAUUCUCUCUUCAAACAUAUUGCUUCAGAUAUCAUGAUUACUCAUGCUCUAUCCCAUCUUGUUAGUACAUGGUGUUUAUUUCUAUUCCAGACUGACCCCAUUCUCAAGAGAAUUUCUAUUCUCGGUAUCUAGGAUUAUUUUUCAACAUCCUCUGGAAACUGGCACAUAUUUUCAUCGUUUGAGUGCAACUUUGUUCUUCUUAAUUUUUGUCUUUCUGUGGUAACAUUAAUAUGUGAUUAUCAUAUUAUCAUUUUGAUAUUAUGAUGUUAUGAUUUUGUCACCUUGGUUUUCUGGUACAACUCUGUUGUACU